rnacentral:rRNA from 1 species
GAGGAGCCUGCGUCUGAUUAGCUUGUUGGUGAGGUAAUGGCUCACCAAGGCUACGAUCAGUAGCUGGUCUGAGAGGAUGAUCAGCCACACUGGGACUGAGAUACGGCCCAGACUCCUACGGGAGGCAGCAGUGGGGAAUAUUGGACAAUGGGCGCAAGCCUGAUCCAGCAAUGCCGCGUGAGUGAAGAAGGCCUUAGGGUUGUAAAGCUCUUUCGGCGGGGACGAUGAUGACGGUACCCGCAGAAGAAGCCCCGGCUAACUCCGUGCCAGCAGCCGCGGUAAUACGGAGGGGGCUAGCGUUGUUCGGAAUUACUGGGCGUAAAGGGCGCGUAGGCGGCGCGAUAAGUUGGGCGUGAAAGGCCCGGGCUCAACCCGGGGACUGCGCUUGAUACUGUCGCGCUGUGAGUCCGGGAGAGGAUGGCGGAAUUCCCAGUGUAGAGGUGAAAUUCGUAGAUAUUGGGAAG